AGCCAGUGAGGUGAGGCCAGACCUCCUGAGGGGAGGGUCCCGUGUCCCCAGAGUCAGGGGUCGGGGUCAGGGGUUGAGGUCAGUGGGUCGGGUGGGUGCAUUGCGGUCAGCAUGUACUCAGGACUGCCUGUGACCCAGAAAAGGCUUUCUCAGGCCUAUUCCCACCCGCACCAGCCUGGAGAGAGCUCUGUCAGGCUGAGGUGGAAUUUUCCGGAGCCCCGGGGGCUGUGCAGGUGCGGGAGGGAGAGCCUGUCAGGCUGAGGUGGAAUUUUCCAGAGCCCUGGGAGGAGGAUUCCCAGCAUCAGGUGAGUGGUGACUUCUGACGCACUGUGGAAGCUACAGGCAGGGCUGAGUCGGCGGCAAGGAGCAGGACCUCCUGUUAGAAAGUCCCAGAAAGAAACAAACCCUCAGGGACCACCCAGAAGGCCAGGAUCAUCCGAGGGGCCGCCCCGUGGGGUCUCCAUGGCUGCACGUGCAUCCUGAGGCCCAAGUCCUCCUCACAGUGGCUUCACUGGGUGCUGGGACUCUGCAGGGACCGAGCUGUUGGUGCUCCAGCUUUCAGGGAGCUCCUGCCUUGGGGUGGACGGACAGCAGAUAACCAGAAGCAGCAGAGAAAACAUCUGAAGUGCUUCCUGGACACACCGGUUAGGAAGUUUCUGCGAGAACCCAGCUGCCUCCAGGGCUGCCCAGGUCAGGUGCUCAGAACACAAAAGAAAAUGAGACAAAGUCGCCACCCUGGAGUUUACGAGCUGGCGUGGGAGACAGGCUGGCACUGAGGAUGACAGUGGAGAGAGAUCGGGCUGGGAAGAACCAGAGGCGCUGGGGAAGCCGGGUCAGCAGGGAGACCCCAGCAGAGUGGGAGCCGGAGGACAGCGGCGACUGCAGCCCGACUGUUUCAGGUGGCGUCCUCGUCACAAGAGGAGCUUGAGCGGGUCGUGGCCUUCCUGGCAACCUGCCUACAGAGGAAACGAUUGCUGGGUGCAGAUGUCUCGAACAUUUAUUGCAUUCCACGUUGUCGGUCAAUAAAACAGCUUUGCGAGCGUAAUACUGAUAAAAUCAAGUUCAGGCGGUAAGCCCCAGGGCUUCCAAGAAAAGUGGAUCGGGGGGCUUGCUCAGCUCUGGUAUCCAGGGGGGGCCACUGCCUGGUUCCCAGGCAAAGGAGUACAAACUGCCAGGAGAAACAAGGACCCUGCAGGAAGAAGGGACCUGCCCGACUGGUUCCCCCGCACCCACAUCAGGAAUUUUCCCAGAAAGCCAUCCACUUUGUUAGAGACAAAAUAAAGGUCAUUUGGAGAAAAACCUGCCAGCAGCUGCUGCUGCUUGAAAAUAGAAAAGAUUUUAAAAGUAGCAGUGUUGGGAGGCCAAGGCAGGCAGAUCACCUGAGGUCAGGAGUUCGAGACCAGCCUGGCCAACAUGGCGAAACCCCGUCUCUACUAAAAACAGAAAAAUUAGCUGGGCAUGGUGGUGCGCACCUGUAAUCCCAGCUACUUGGGAGGCUGAGGCAGGAGAAUCACUUAAACCUGGGAGGCGAAGAUUGCAAUGAGCUGAGAUUGUGCCACUGCACUCCAGCCUGGGCAACAGAGCAGGACAUCGUCUCAAAAAAAAAAAAAAAAAAUGCAGCAGUGGUUUGAAAUCAUGCAUUUUUAUGUGUUAUCCUCAAACAUCUGAGGGAGAUAAGAAAGAAUAUACCACGGAUGAGAAUAUUUAUAAUUAUCAGAAAAAAAACUGCCUCGUAGGAACAAUCCUGUGAGCUCCAUCAUCAAAUCUGAUUCAGCAGCCUCCAAAUCCCCUACUUGCCCUGGCAGUCACUACCCACCUCACAGCUGUCCUUUGCAGAUUACUACAAAUGUUCUCUUAAAUAUUCAUUUAUCCCCCAGCAUUGACAGGUGAGGAAUGAUGUUGCUUGGGCUAUUUCUGCCCCAAGUGGCCCCUGUAAAGCCGGGACCUUGGAUCCUCCCUCUCAUAUGAGCCUCCUAAGGGGGCUCCCAGCUCCUGGAUGGGGUCUUCUCAGGGCCUAGGGCCCCCUCAUCUGCCCAGAACAAACUUCCUCAUCCAGAUGUCACCAUUCAUUUCCCCAAGUCCUCCUUCCCACCAGACAUGAGGAUUUUAACUUGAUCAUCUCUGCAAAGACCUUAUCUUCAAAUACAGUUACAUUCUGAAGUCCUGGGGGUUAGGGCUGCAACACCCGAAUUGGAGGAGACAUAAUCCAGCUCCUGACAAUACCGCGUAUGAUAGCUGCGUCUCUGCCUGCAGUACUGUUUUCCAGUGAAAGCAUCUUUGAGUGUAUUCAGAAAGCCUCUCUCUGGGGCCAGGCCUUGCAGAGAAUCCUUCAGAAACUGGACAACCCCACCCAAGGCAGUCAGUGGGGAGGACACAUUUGGUGCCUCAUUCGUCCCUGGAUCUGCCUCACAGUCCUCAAUGUUCUUCCUCGUUCCCUCUACUCUUUCUCCUCUUUGGUUGACCUUGAAGCUCAUUCCUGGUGAAGGCCCCGUGGGAGCAGUGCAAUGACAAGAGGAGCCUGUUUUCAUCAGCACCCUCACGCUCUCCAGGGGUCCAUUGGAGGUGCCUAUGACCUCCUGAUGCUGAGGAGCCUAGAGUGGGCAGCCCUCGGGCCCAGGCUCCACCUGGGUGAGGCCUGUUUUAUUAUCAAUACUCACCACAGUCAUUUGUGGGAGUGUAAUGCUCAUAUUCCCAUUUAAGAGAUGAAUAAACUGAGGCAAGGUGAAGUGACUCAGCUGAGGCCACACCACAAUUUAAUGGGGAAGCCAGGAUAAGAGCUGGCGGCGUCUAUGUCUAUGAUCUACACUCUGAUGGGAGGUCGUCAGAGAGCCAUGUAAACGGUGAGGAGGUGACAUGCUGGUCCCUUCCAUAAAAGCUGUUUUGCAAAAUUAAAACACACACACAGUAAAGAUCCAGAUUUAUGCAAGUGAGAGUGAGGGGCUAUUUACCAGUCAACAGAUCUCCCCAAAUGGUUCUCUGCUUGGGGUUGAGAUGCUCCUGACCAGCAGGGCUUGGGGAGAGACAUUCUUGCUCCCCCUAGAGCUGGCUGACCUAUACCCAGGGGAUUCUGAGCACCAGGGGCUGGGAGCAGCAUGUACCACGUGUUUCCCAAGAGUUAGUCAUGUUUACUCCUAAAACUUAUUGUAAUCGAGGAAUCUAAUUAAACAAUACAGCAA